UGGCGGUAGUAGCAAAUAUUCAAACAAGCGCUUUGAAGGCCGAAGUGGAGCAGGGUUCCAUGUGAACAGCAGUUGAACAUGGGUAGUUAGGAAGAGCAUCGUG